rnacentral:lncRNA from 1 species
AAUAUAAUUGUCCAACCUAGACUAUUUGUAAGUAGAUAAAAAUUGCUUCUGUUUUAAUAGUAUUGAUAUCACAUUUGGUAAAAUUAAACUAUAUCAUUUUGUUUUAAGUCAAAAUAUUAUUUUCAUUAGAAGAUUAAGUUUGAAAUAGUUUAUCGUCUAGUAACUUCAACAACCAUCUCUUUAAUGGGAGUGUUUGUUAUAUACAGCACACAAGUACCUGCACUUAACACUAGUAGGGAUGACAACAUGCAUUGCUCAGAACUCAAUGAUACUUCUUCCGUAAACUCAUACCCAAUUUUACAAAGCAUGGGCCUAUAUUACCGAAGCCCAAUUAAUGAUAGUACAAGACGUACCCCCAUAUUGACACAGAUGCCUAACAUGUCGAAAUUUGUUCCGUAAAUCCCAACGAGAAUGACUGAUCAAGCAAGCAACAAGAUUCAUAUAGAUUUUGUCAAGUUUCCAAAGAUAACCACCAACAUUACUCUUUUCCCCAGCUUCCUCACCCUCUGUCUCUCCAGUUUCUUACACACGCUC